GAUUUAUCGGUUAAGGAUUGGCCCGCGUUAGAUUAGAUAGUUGGUGGGUAAUGGCCUACCAAGUCUACGAUCUAUAGCUGGUUUGAGAGGAUGAUCAGCAACACUGGGACUGAGACACGGCCCAGACUCCUACGGGAGGCAGCAGUGGGGAAUCUUAGACAAUGGGCGCAAGCCUGAUCUAGCGAUGCCGCGUGAGUGACGAAGGCCUUAGGGUCGUAAAGCUCUUUCGCCAGGGAUGAUAAUGACAGUACCUGGUAAAGAAACCCCGGCUAACUCCGUGCCAGCAGCCGCGGUAAUA
rnacentral:rRNA from 1 species